AUUCCAAAAAGUUGUUUGAAAUUCAAAAACUGUGGUUUUUUUGUCAAUAUUUUUGCAAAUAUUACUUCAAUCAAAAACAAUUUUAAACAAACAAAAAUAAUUGAAGUAAUUAAAUUUGGACUACCUACAUUUCAAUAUGAAUUUCAUUAGUAAGGUUUAUUUUUUACCUUUGUACACCACUGCAGAAUUUUAUGUAAGCAUAACUUUAUAAUAUAAAAAAUGUGGUUUUUAGGGGUUUCAAUUUUCAACGUUUACCCUAACCAUUUAUAUGUUAAAAUUUCAUUAUUUAGACGUAAUAUAAUUAUAAUACAGAUGUACAAUUCGACGUAUAGUGUUU